UACGAAGGGAGCUAGCGUUGUUCGGAAUUACUGGGCGUAAAGGGCGCGUAGGCGGUCUGAUAAGUUUGAUGUGAAAGCCCUGGGCUUAACCUAGGAAUUGCAUUGGAUACUGUUAGACUAGAGACCGAGAGAGGAAAAUGGAAUUGCGAGUGUAGAGGUGAAAUUCUUAGAUAUUCGCAAGAACAUCAGUGGCGAAGGCGAUUUUCUGGCUCGGUACUGACGCUAAGGCGCGAAAGCGUGGGGAGCAAACAGG
rnacentral:rRNA from 1 species